GUAGCGCAGUGCAUAGCGCGUUCGACCUCUAAUCCGAAGUUCGUGAGUUCGAAUCCCACUUCA
rnacentral:tRNA from 1 species